UGGGAAGAAGCAGUCCAGGAAACAAAAGAUGGUGCCGCCAAUAGAAAAUUGACUGGAGAAUGUCACUUCCUUUGGAAAUCUACACGUUUACAGCUUAUGACACUAGCAGAAAAUAUCAAAGUCAUGCUCACCGAACUUUGAAAGAAGGUCUGCCUAUUUUUAUUAAGGAAUGGGGACAGACAGAUCCAGAGGGAGAAGAUUGAGCCUUGUGCCUGUCAGUCGUAUUUCCACGCUAUUGGAGGUGGAGAGCAGAGAGAGAAGCCAGCACCAUCCAUAUUUUAUUACUGCUGCAAUCUUCUCAAAGUACAACCUGGGGACUGUAUGAUGGUCAGUGAUACGUUAGAAACCGACGUCCAAGGAGGCCUCAAUGCAGGACUGAAAGCAACAGUCUGGAUCAAUAAAAAUGGAAUAGUGCCACUGAAGUCCUCCCCCCUUCUGCAUUACAUGGUUUCUUCUGUGCUGGAGUUACCUGCUCUCUUACAA
rnacentral:lncRNA from 1 species